GUGGUUGUGUGUACUUUUCCGCAGUCACAAAAUGUAAUAGUGAUUUAUCUAAAGUUCCUUAGGAUCGUGCUAUACCCGUUUGCAACCAAUGAUUUCCAAACUUCCCUGCUGGCAUUAGAGGCUGCUGCCAAGCCCUCAGAUGCAUCCACCCAAUGGGAGUCUUUCAUGCUCUCCCCAGCCUCGCAGAUCGAAACUAGAUCUAGUUUAGUCUAAGUGUAGCUCCAGCGAUUACUNAUCUCUCCUGGUUUUAACUGAUAAUAUGAGACAGCAGUCUAAACAUGAAGCCAGCCAGGCUACCCGGGAGUCGCAGCCGCCAGCAUACUUCUGCCCUAGCAAUGCAUCAGCGCCUGGAACCCAAAGCAGGGCGGAGACAGCAGAUGAACGCUGCUGCCUGCAGCAGAGCUUUGUUAGCAUGCAGGGUAUUUGGUUGGUAUUGGCGUCUUUUUUUCCCCCUCUCUCCUCCUCCCUCUGCCCCGGAACAGCCUGCCCCGCUCACAGGGAGAGAGCCUGUCUGUGUGCCGCCGCCCCACUCAGAGCCCGCCCCUUUUUUCUUCGCCCUGGCCUUCCGUGUGGAACAAGCCGGGCACGUGCGCUGCGACGCUGGCUUUCCUGCCUGCCUGCCAGGGGCGAGGCUGCUGCUACCUUUCUCGGCCACAGCCGCUUGCCUGCUCCGUUUCUCUCGGCGAGCGCGGGACAUAUAGUUAAAUUGCAGAACGUCCCUGUUGCGGAUCCAGAGGACCAGAUGUGGAUACCUGUUCUAGCAAAACAGUAGGACUUGGGAAGCUUCACUUUUGCAAAGAAUUCUGUGCCA
rnacentral:lncRNA from 1 species